rnacentral:rRNA from 1 species
CCCUACGGGGCGCAGCAGGCGAGAAAACUUUGCAAUGUGCGAAAGCACGACAAGGUUAAUCCGAGUGGUUUCUGCUAAAGGAACCUUUUGACAGUCCUAGAAACACUGUUGAAUAAGGGGUGGGCAAGUUCUGGUGUCAGCCGCCGCGGUAAAACCAGCACCUCAAGUGGUCAGGAUGAUUAUUGGGCCUAAAGCAUCCGUAGCCGGCUCAGUAAGUUUUCGGUUAAAUCUGUACGCUCAACGUACAGGCUGCCGGGAAUACUGCAGAGCUAGGGAGUGGGAGAGGUAGACGGUACUCGGGAGGAAGUGGUAAAAUGCUUUGAUCUUUCGAUGACCACCUGUGGCGAAGGCGGUCUACCAGAACACGUCCGACGGUGAGGGAUGAAAGCUGGGGGAGCAAACCGGAUUAGAUACCCGGGUAGUCCCAGCUGUAAACUAUGCAAACUCAGUGAUGCAUUGGCUUGUGGCCAAUGCAGUGUUGCAGGGAAGCCGUUAAGUUUGCCGCCUGGGAAGUACGUACGCAAGUAUGAAACUUAAAGGAAUUGGCGGGGGAGCAC